CUGGUUGCUGCCCAUACUUGGCACAAAAGUUUAUCCAAUCAGACCGCCUAAUGCAAAUAACUUUCAAAAAGUUUCAACUUCAGUGGCUCCGACAGCCACUCUACUUCAAAGGCUCAUCCACACUCGCAUACCAAAGCAAGGAUCUCCUGGAAUAUUCUCUACUCCCCAGAUACCAACUUCUGAAGCAUUUUCUCUGAACUCUUAUUCCCUCUACCGAGUGGAAAAGAGGAGUCAAGAUGAGACAGUGCAAAAGCCCUGAAGGAGGACUUUGCUGGAUAUACUGGGAAAAUAAAGAGCAAGCCAGGGCAGCUGGAA